rnacentral:rRNA from 1 species
GACGAACGCUGGCGGCGUGCCUAAUACAUGCAAGUCGAACGCAGUGGGGACGGGUGAGUAACACGUGGGUAACCUCCCCAUCAGCGGGGAUAACACUUGGAAACAGGUGCUAAACCGAUAUUGAUGGAUGGACCCGCGGUGCAUUAGCUAGUUGGUCAGGUAACGGCUCACCAAGGCCACGAUGCAUAGCCUGCCGGAGAGGAUGAUCGGCCACACUGGGACUGAGACACGGCCCAGACUCCUACGGGAGGCAGCAGUAGGGAAGCUUCGACAAGGGACGAAAGCCUGACCGAGCAACGCCGCGUGAGUGAAGAAGGUUUUCGGAUCGUAAAACUCUGUUGUAAGAGAAGCGGUAUCUAACCAGAAAGCCACGGCUAACUACGUGCCAGCAGGCGCGGUAAUAC